rnacentral:rRNA from 1 species
UACGUAGGGUGCGAGCGUUAAUCGGACUUACUGGGCGUAAAGCGUGCGCAGGCGGUUUUGUAAGCCAGAUGUGAAAUCCCCGGGCUUAACCUGGGAAUGGCAUUUGGGACUGCAAGGCUGGAGUUUGGCAGAGGAGACUGGAAUUCCCGGUGUAGCAGUGAAAUGCGUAGAUAUCGGGAGGAAUACCGAUGGCGAAGGCAGGUCUCUGGGCUAUAACUGACGCUCAUGCACGAAAGCGUGGGGAGCAAACAGG